GUGCAAUUCUUUUGGAUUUAGUGCCUGGCAACAGUUUUGGAGAGAGCCUGAAAUCUGGCUUGGCUGGAAUUUGUAGAUUGCAAGCACAAUCUGAAAAAGGGAUAGUCCCAUGUUCUCCAUCGCAAAAAGAUGGCCACGUGACCCUGCCCCUACCACGCCUGGACGCUGAGAGCUGCCAAAGGAGUCGCCAGGAAAAGGAUUCACCUUCAUUUCUUUCGGAUCUAACUUGUCCUGAAACAUCCAGCGACAAGAACCAUUUCUGCUGUUUCAGUAGCAGGAGAUGCGCAGCACUCUGGCCGGCCUGUUUCCUAAAGCUUUGAUCUACUUUGUCUCACUGACUGAAGCACACAACGCCAAACCCACUCAGUGCGCGGCUCCUGCGGCUCCAAAGAAUUCACUUUUGAAACACAACACAGCUGUAUCAAUUUUCGUGGAAACUUGUCUUUGGAGAUGUGUUUUGGGGGUGCAGCAAUGAGAAAUUUUCCUGCCUCAACUGAGUUCUGCCUGCUGGGUCCCAGGAUUCUCUUCAUCUGUGUUCUCCGCCACUGGCUCCUAGAAGCACUUGUCAAAAGUUUUACUCAGUAAAACUAAAGCAAUGUUGUGGUGCUUCCUUCGGGUGAACAGCCUGAUUACGCUUUGGGACUGUGCCAUACCCAGCAUAGCUCAAGGUCAUUCCAGAGUCAGCUUGGGAUUUUGAUAAUUUUAGUCACUUUCUACAGUGCCUUGAGGUCAGUUGAUAUCUAAAACCCAAAAUGAAGGCUGGGUGUGGUAGUCACAAUAGGAGAGCAGGAACGUCCUGAGUUUGAGCCCAUCCUGGCAACAUGGUGAGGGCCUGUCUCAACAAACAAAAAAAUGACAACAACAGAGAGCUGACUUUGCCGGCUCAGGGCGUAUUCUCAAACAGAGGAAAUAAGUAACAACAACGUCAGCGCUACAGGCACAGCUGUUCUCAGGGGUCGUCACCAAAGCCAAAACAGUUGUGAUGCUCCGUGCACAGCUGGAGGCAACGUUCAGGCGUGGCGUCUACUUUGGUCUGGGAGGAACACAGUGGGACCUGAAGCAGGAAUGGUAAGCCAGCUCACUUACCAGUGAUGCCGAAGAUACCCGCCACCCAGGUUUCCAAGCCAGUAUGAUCAAGGCAUCGGGAUUAUGGAGUACAAGUCCCUGGAAUCUACAAAUAAGAGACUUCCUAUAUCACUUUCUUCAAAAGAUGCCUGGAGCACGACAGACUUCCAGGGCCAGCACUCAAGCAGCCUUUGGAAAAACUCCUGACUCCCUAAGCCAUCUGGGUAAUGAAUAGUUGGAUAAAUGGGGUUACUAGUAUCCUGUGCCUGGAUUACAGUUGCUUUCCUCUGUUACUAAGGAGAUCCAGGGAGUAAAACCAUGCACAGCCUUUGGGGCAAUAGAGGACUUUUGUUCUCCUAUUGAAAGCUUAUGGGAUUGGUGGCUGAUGAAUCACCCUGUUCAGAUCCACAGACAAAAGCACUUCUGAUUGGCUGUCACUGGGUCAGGUUCCCACCCUUGCUUAUCUCAUCCACACCCUUGUAGGCUAACAAGGAGACUGGGUGUAGGGCCUUGUUGUCCUAGCCUGAGAUAGUGUGGCUCAGAUGCAGCUUUUGCCCUGUGCCUCUCCAGGUCUGUAUUUUCUUUUUUACAGAUAUUGGCUGAGAAAAGAAAUAGAAACAAAAUUUUCAGGGAUCUGAAGGGAGAUGGCAAACAAGGACAGAUAUUUUACGGAGAUGGGACCAGGGUGAUCCUAGGAAGCUUACAUGUUCCCUGAAGAACUUGAAAAAAAAAAAUGGGGAAGGGGAGCUACUUCAGUUGAAGAGGAUAUUGCAACGUGACUUUUACUUCGUGAGUCUUCAAUAUGCUUUGAUACAUCUAAAAACAGAAUUAUGCUAAGAUAAAAGCUUAAGAAAUGGCUAGGAGCAGAGCACUCCCAGAACUCCAAGGCAGAGUCUGGAAGAUCUCUGUGAGUUCAAAGCCAGCCUGGAUGGUCUACAGAGCUAGUUCUAGGACAGUCAAGUCUGUGUACAAAGAAACCCAGUCUUGAAAAAACAAACAAGCAAGCAAGCAAGCAAGCAGACAAAAGAAAUGACAAGGAAAAAUCAUUACCAAUUUCCACAUUUGUUAAAAGAAAAUCUCCACAGGUAGCAUAUUUGAGAAAAUGUGCCCUCUCUUUUCUUCUAGGAACGGAGGAAUUUGAGAUUCAGCAGGCUGAAGGAUGGAUUUAAUGGAAUUUAGCAAACUUAUAGCAGGACCACAAUUAGAACCCAGAUCUUCUAAUUUCUGGUUGUAUCAGCAAAGAUGUCUGAGACAUAGUUCAAAUCCUGGAUGUAGUAGUUAUUUAUCAGUCACUUCAGACUUUGUGAUCUAACCGUGGGCAGUAAAUAAUCCAACCUUUCACUGUCCCCUGGAGUGACAGUAAGCGUAAGCAUAAUGUAUCUCAAUGUAGUUUUGCCAACACUUACAGAAAUAUGAGGUUAUCUUGCAUCAAUUCAUUCAACUCAUAGUAUGUGAUGCCAUCUGUUUGAGAAACAGACACAACUUUGUGAAUAAAAUAAUUGCAACAAAGUUUUGUUUUGUCAUUUCUUCUUACCCCUUAGUAGAAGCUACAGGCCUUUAAAAUAUUGUGCAGUAAAUACAUGUUGAUUUGGGGAAGAACAAUGUUCAUUUCAACUGGGUGAAUGGCAACAGAGCUUGCUUUAAGAUAGUCUUGCUGUCCAGAUAACGUGACAAUUAAGGAUAAUUCAAAAUUAAUGUUCCUUAUUCACUUCUUUUUCAUACUAUGGAUACUUAAAAAAUAUCCAAAAGGUAAAUAUUUUCUUGUUUGCCAGGAAAUAUUUUCAAUGAGUAGGUUAUAACACU